GGGGUCGUGGCGCAACAGGGAGCGCGCUUCCUUCGCAAGGAAGAGGUAGCGGGUUCGAAUCCCGUCGACUCCACUA
rnacentral:tRNA from 1 species